rnacentral:rRNA from 1 species
GAUGAACGCUGGCGGCGUGCCUAAUACAUGCAAGUCGAGCGAACAGACGAGGAGCUUGCUCCUCUGACGUUAGCGGCGGACGGGUGAGUAACACGUGGAUAACCUACCUAUAAGACUGGGAUAACUUCGGGAAACCGGAGCUAAUACCGGAUAAUAUAUUGAACCGCAUGGUUCAAUAGUAAAUGACGGUUUUGCUGUCACUUAUAGAUGGAUCCGCGCCGCAUUAGCUAGUUGGUAAGGUAACGGCUUACCAAGGCGACGAUGCGUAGCCGACCUGAGAGCGUGAUCGGCCACACUGGAACUGAGACACGGUCCAGACUCCUACGGGAGGCAGCAGUAGGGAAUCUUCCGCGAUGGGCGAAAGCCUGACGUAGCAACGCCGCGUGAGUGAUGAAGGUCUUCGGAUCGUAAAACGCUGUUAUUAGGGAAGAACAAAUGUGUAAGUAACUAUGCACGUCUUGACGGUACCUAAUCAGAAAGCCACGGCUAACUACGUG